rnacentral:rRNA from 1 species
CACGCCGUAAACGAUGUCGAUUUGGAGGCUGUGUCCUUGAGACGUGGCUUCCGGAGCUAACGCGUUAAAUCGACCGCCUGGGGAGUACGGCCGCAAGGUUAAAACUCAAAUGAAUUGACGGGGGCCCGCACAAGCGGUGGAGCAUGUGGUUUAAUUCGAUGCAACGCGAAGAACCUUACCUGGCCUUGACAUGUCUGGAAGCCUGUAGAGAGACGGGAGUGCCUUCGGGAAUCAGAACACAGGUGC